rnacentral:rRNA from 1 species
AUUGAACGCUGGCGGAAUGCUUUACACAUGCAAGUCGAACGGCAGCACGGACUUCGGUCCGGUGGCGAGUGGCGAACGGGUGAGUAAUGUAUCGGAACGUGCUCAGUCGUGGGGGAUAACGUAGUGAAAAUUACGCUAAUACCGCAUACGAUCUAUGGAUGAAAGCGGGGGAUCGCAAGACCUCGCGCGAUUGGAGCGGCCGAUAUCAGAUUAGGUAGUUGGUGGGGUAAAGGCCCACCAAGCCAACGAUCUGUAGCUGGUCUGAGAGGACGACCAGCCACACUGGAACUGAGACACGGUCCAGACUCCUACGGGAGGCAGCAGUGGGGAAUUUUGGACAAUGGGCGAAAGCCUGAUCCAGCCAUUCCGCGUGCAGGAUGAAGGCCCUCGGGUUGUAAACUGCUUUUGUACAGAACGAAAAGGUUUCUACUAAUACUAGGAGCUCAUGACGGUACUGUAAGAAUAAGCACCGGCUAACUACGUGCCAGCCGCCGCAGUAA